rnacentral:piRNA from 1 species
UCCCAAGUAGCUGGAACUACGGGUGUGC